AUGAGUCUAUAUUUUAAUUUCACUACCUUAAAGUACAAAAAUAUUUUUAAUUGGCCAAUCUACGGCCGUUUGAAACCAAGCGCUUAGCGCCGAUCUUAAGCAUUAUCAUUUUUGUUUACAAUCUUAAUCAUAUCUCCGGUUCUAUUGGUCGUAUCAAGACGAAUAAAAAAAUGGAA